rnacentral:rRNA from 1 species
UGGGGAAUAUUGGACAAUGGGCGAAAGCCUGAUCCAGCCAUGCCGCGUGUGUGAAGAAGGUCUUCGGAUUGUAAAGCACUUUAAGUCGGGAGGAAGGGCAGUAAGCGAAUACCUUGCUGUUUUGACGUUACCGACAGAAUAAGCACCGGCUAACUCUGUGCCAGCAGCCGCGGUAAUACAGAGGGUGCAAGCGUUAAUCGGAAUUACUGGGCGUAAAGCGCGCGUAGGUGGUUCGUUAAGUUGAAUGUGAAAGCCCCGGGCUCAACCUGGGAACUGCAUCCAAAACUGGCGAGCUAGAGUAGGGCAGAGGGUGGUGGAAUUUCCUGUGUAGCGGUGAAAUGCGUAGAUAUAGGAAGGAACACCAGUGGCGAAGGCGACCACCUGGGCUCAUACUGACACUGAGGUGCGAAAGCGUGGGGAGCAAACAGG